rnacentral:tRNA from 1 species
UGGCAGGUAAUUCAGUCGGUAGAAUGUCGCUCUGUUAAAGCGAACGUCGCGGGUUCGAGUCCCGCCCUGUCAGCCA